rnacentral:rRNA from 1 species
ACUCCUACGGGAGGCAGCAGUGGGGAAUAUUGGACAAUGGGCGAAAGCCUGAUCCAGCCAUGCCGCGUGUGUGAAGAAGGCCUUCGGGUUGUAAAGCACUUUCAGCGAGGAAGAACGCUUGUGGGUUAAUACCCCGCAAGAAGGACAUCACUCGCAGAAGAAGACACCGGCUAACUCCGUGCCAGCAGCCGCGGUAAUACGGAGGGUGCAAGCGUUAAUCGGAAUUACUGGGCGUAAAGCGCGCGUAGGCGGCUGAUAAGCCGGUUGUGAAAGCCCCGGGCUCAACCUGGGAACGGCAUCCGGAACUGUCAGGCUAGAGUGCAGGAGAGGAAGGUAGAAUUCCCGGUGUAGCGGUGAAAAUGCGUAGAGAUCGGGAGGAAUACCAGUGGCG